rnacentral:rRNA from 1 species
CGAACGAACUUAAUCUUUAGUUUACUAUAGAAGCGGUUAGUGGCGGACUGGUGAGUAACGCGUAAGCAAUCUGCCUAUUAGAGGGGGAUGACAGUGAGAAAUCACUGCUAAUACCGCAUAAGCUGUGAAUAUCGCAUGAUAUAAAUAGAAAAGGAGUAAUCCACUGAUAGAUGAGCUUGCGUCUGAUUAGUUAGUUGGUGAGGUAACGGCCCACCAAGACGAUGAUCAGUAGCCGGACUGAGAGGUUAAACGGCCACAUUGGGACUGAGAUACGGCCCAGACUCCUACGGGAGGCAGCAGUCGGGAAUAUUGCGCAAUGGAGGAAACUCCGACGCAGUGACGCCGCGUGCAGGAAGAAGGUUUUCGGAUUGUAAACUGCUUUAGACAGGGAAGAAAGAAAUGACGGUACCUGUAGAAUAAGCUCCGGCUAACUACGUGCCAGCAGCCGCGGUAAUACGUAGGGAGCAAGCGUUAUCCGGAUUUAUUGGGUGUAAAGGGUGCGUAGACGGGUAUACAAGUUAGUAGUGAAAUCCCUCGGCUUAACUGAGGAACUGCUACUAAAACUAUAUAUCUUGAGUACUGGAGGGGAAAGCGGAAUUCCUAGUGUAGCGGUGAAAUGCGUAGAUAUUAGGAAGAACACCGGUGGCGAAGGCGGCUUUCUGGACAGAAACUGACGUUGAGGCACGAAAGUGUGGGGAGCAAACAG